GCUGGCCCUGGGAGCUGCCAUUCUACUUUCCAACUCCAUGAAUUUGACUAGUCAAGGUACCACAUGGACAUCCUUCCUGAUUGGAGGAAGACCAUUUUUUAAGACAAAAUAAUAUGAGUUGCUGCUCUCUUCUGCGAGGACCUAUACCAGAGUUAACAUGAAAGCUUCACAUGUGAGAUAAAUGCACUCAAAGACUCCUCACAAGUAGCUCUUUGGAGCUUCAGAUGUGAAAUGGAUCAUUCCUCAAGCUGUAAUAGACCCUUUGGUGAAGCUCUUCAAUCAAACCUGAGAAUUCAAGACGUUUUGUAGCAUCCUAAACAGAAGGAUAUUGAAGGGAGCUGAUUCUGCUUUGAUCCUUGUGCUUGUUGUCAAAGCGCUUGGGAUUGAAGAGACUGUUGGCUACAAUUGACUGUGACAAUUAGGAGAUGAUCAGAGCCCUAGAGUGGAGCACUUAAAGGGAGAAUGGAAAAGGGAAAAUGUGAGUACAGAGAAAGUAGCACUGAUUUCCAUCACAAAAAAGAGAUUCUACAGAGCUCUGGAGGAAAGUCACACCACAGCACAGGCAGAUCCUGGGAAAUGCACUGAAUCUGUGGACUGCCUUGGUACUGUUGUAGGCCAAUGUGUCUUGCACCUCUGUGCUGGAAUUCUGUGGGACUCCUCUCCAAACCAAAGUUCCUCAAAAAAGCCAUGAAAGUUAUGUGAUACAAGAGAAAUGCCAUUGUUCUUAUUGGAUGAUUCCUAUCAGAGCCCAUCAGGAGGUCUAGGCAUUUACAAUGAAGAUCAGUGUAAUUGUACUAUCUUGCUUGGUGGCUAAGUCAUUCAGAAGGGAACAAACUGUGAAAACUGAGCCUGCUAUUUUUUUUGUUUCUAUGUUAGUUGAGUAAGGAUGCUGACCUACUGAUCGGAUCUCCAGCCCAGGACUAUGGUUUUCCAAUAGUUAGAGGUCAUUGAUCCUGAAGGAAAAUUUUUUGCCUAAGAAUUGGAGCUGCCUGAUCUCUACAUAUUGCAAAUGGUCUGACCUUUUCAUUCAAUAGUCACUAGACUACUUAGCCAACUUGCCCUGGGGCCCCCUCCAUGAGGGUGUCUGGCUAGGCAUGGACAGCCUGGUUCUGAGUGUGCAAAGCUGUGGCUUCCCCUCCUAUAGACGCCUUCUGAACAGCAAAUCUGACUUCCUCCUCAGACCAAGGCAUCCUGAAAACAUCCAAGCAGAGGAAGCAUUUUUUCACCAUGACAUGGGAAAGGGCCACAGAGAUCCAAAUGGAAACGGACAUUUCAUGUGAGUGACUGUUUCUAUUCCCGCUUGGCUUCUGGCCUAAUUCAACAGACACUUAGGUGGCUGAAGAGGGAAAUUUUUGUUAAAGUGAAUCCAGCUCUGAGUUGGACACAGAGCCGUUUGACUGGCGGCCGAGUUCCUUGUGCUAGCUGGCAAAAUGAGCAAAUUUUUCUUUUAGUUGUUGUUGUUGGGUUUUGAAAAUACUUCAUUUCCUGGCAACGGUUUUCUUUCUCUGAUAGAUAAAGGGAAAGAUCUCUUCCAUUACACUUCUAUCAUCUUAAAAACUAUAUUCUUAAGCAGGCAGGAUCCCCUGAAGAUUUGCUCUCCUUCUCCAUGGCCUUUUGACAGCUGGCUCAUAACCAAGUGGUCUCAGAGAAGUCCUCCCUUCCCUGAUUGUGGAUGUCAGUGGGAGUCUGUUUGCUGUCAUCAGAAGGUUCAUUUUACCAUGGUGGCCGUGUGUGUGUGUGUGUGUGUGUGUGUUUGUGUGCAUCUAAAAGGUGGGCAUAGUGCCUAGAUUUAAGCUUUUAAGAAUAUUCAAAGACUAUGGUUAAGAAAAUUAGAGAUUGAGGUGGCCCUCCUUCCCCUUUGCUCUCUAGGAAGCCACACAAAAACUCGUGUUAUGAGACCCCAUCCUAUGGAUGUAACACACACAACUGUGUUAAUCAAAAAUAGACAAUCUUCUACGUCCACGGUAGAGUGAAUUGACACAGUCAUCCUGUAUGGCACUGGAGCACAAAUCAAAAGCUUUAAAAAUUGCACCUCUAGGAGUUCCCAUUGUGGUUCAGUGGGUUAGGAACAUGACAUAGUGUCCAUGAGGAUGAGGGUUUGGUCCUUGGCUUCAAUUACUAGGUUAGGGAUCCAGCGUCACAGCAAGCUGCAGUGUAGGUCACAGAUGCAGCUCAGAUCCAGUGUUUCUGUGGCUGUGGUAUGGGCCAGCAGCUGCAGCUCUGAUUCAACCCCUAGCCCAGAAACUUCCAUAAGAUGCAGGUGUGGCCAUUAAAAAAAAAAAAAAA
ensembl:lncRNA